ACUUUUCCCCCUGCGUACUUUUCUGCAUUUUUAAUGUUUGCGUUUGCUCUGUAUUUAAGAGGAAGAUCUCUUUUGCUCCUUUGAAUGACAUCAUGACUACACCUGCUACCCAAAUAUUGUAGAUAAUGACAUUGUGAACACACCUGAAGACACUGGAGGCCCUCAGGAAGGCACACUGGCCACACCCACCGAGAGGUAUUUUUCCUAAAACUAGAGAUGGAUUAAUGUGCCGUGAGAGAACAGGCUACUUGUAAAUACCACAAGAAGAGGUCUGAAUGUCCAUGGAUUUUUUUGGUACAGAUUUGGGUCACUCUAGAGUGAUUUUGUGGCAAUUCUACUUUCACGACGUUGAUAUACGCGGGCAUGCAAGUGAACUGGAGCCGUUUCCUGCUGAAUUACUUGGGAACUCACUUAAAUAAUUACCUGAUUUCACAGAAAUAUCCCAUCAACUUCAAUCCCCGCUUCAAUUCCGAACACGCUGGGCACUGGAGGGAAUAUUCGUUAACAUAAUUACUUAAUCCUCCUUAAUCUGCACCACCACCUCAUUUGACAGCCGAGAUGGAAAAAUCAAUCCUUGCUACUCAGCUGCUAAUGCCGAGCAAAGAGCACUCCUCCCCUCCCCCGCCCCCAGACCCCAGGAG
rnacentral:sRNA from 1 species